rnacentral:rRNA from 1 species
UGCAAGUCUAGGGGUAGCAAUACCACUGGCGCACGGGUGAGUAACACGUAGGUUAUCUACCCCUAUCACAGACAUAACCUCGGGAAACCGAGGCUAAUAUCUGAUGAGGUCGCGAGAUCAAAGCUUCGGCGGAUAGGGAUGAGCCUGCGGCUGAUUAGCUAGUUGGUGAGGUAAUGGCUCACCAAGGCGACGAUCAGUAGCUGGUCUGAGAGGACGAACAGCCACACUGGAACUGAGACACGGUCCAGACUCCUACGGGAGGCAGCAGUGAGGAAUAUUGGUCAAUGGGAGCAAUCCUGAACCAGCAAUGCCGCGUGUGGGAUGACAGGGCUUCGCCUUGUAAACCACUGUCGGAUGGGACGAAAGGAACCCUCGGGGUUCUGGGACGGUACCAUCAAAGGAAGGGUCGGCUGACGGGGGGGCCAGCAGCCGCGGUAAUACGUAGGACCCGAGCGUUGUCCGGAUUUACUGGGUAUAAAGGGUGCGUAGGCGGCCUUGUGCGUCAGAGGUGAAAUAUCCGGGCUUAACCCGGAGGGUGCCUUUGAUACGGCAGGGCUUGAGUGCGAGAGAGGAUGAUGGAAUUCCUGGUGUAGCGGUGAAAUGCGUAGAUAUCAGGAGGAACACCGGUGGCGAAGGCGGUCAUCUGGCUCGCAACUGACGCUGAGGCACGAAAGCGCGGGGAUCAAACAGGAUUAGAUAC